rnacentral:rRNA from 1 species
GAUGAACGCUGGCGGCGUGCUUAACACAUGCAAGUCGAACGGUGAACACGGAGCUUGCUCUGUGGGAUCAGUGGCGAACGGGUGAGUAACACGUGAGCAACCUGCCCCUGACUCUGGGAUAAGCGCUGGAAACGGCGUCUAAUACUGGAUACGAGUAGCGGCCGCAUGGUCAGUUACUGGAAAGAUUUUUUGGUUGGGGAUGGGCUCGCGGCCUAUCAGCUUGUUGGUGAGGUAAUGGCUCACCAAGGCGUCGACGGGUAGCCGGCCUGAGAGGGUGACCGGGCACACUGGGACUGGGACACGGCCCAGACUCCUACGGGAGGCAGCAGUGGGGAAUAUUGCACAAUGGGCGAAAGCCUGAUGCAGCAACGCCGCGUGAGGGAUGACGGCCUUCGGGUUGUAAACCUCUUUUAGCAGGGAAGAAGCGAAAGUGACGGUACCUGCAGAAAAAGCGCCGGCUAACUACGUGCCAGCCGCCGCCGUAA